UGACGUUACAGGACGUUCCACGGAGCAU
rnacentral:sRNA from 1 species